GAACGAACGCUGGCGGCGCGUUUAAGCAUGCAAGUCGAGCGGCAAGGGCCUUCGGGCCCCUAGAGCGGCGGACGGGUGAGUAACACGUGGACAAUCUGCCCCCGGCCCGGGAUAGCCCAGGGAAACCUGGAUUAAUACCGGGAUGAGACGGGACCCGCGAAGGCGGGACCCGGGAAAGGCGCUGCGGCGCCGCCGGGGGAUGAGUCUGCGUCCCAUUAGCUAGACGGCGGGGUAACGGCCCACCGUGGCGACGAUGGGUAGCCGGCCUGAGAGGGUGGACGGCCACAUUGGAACUGAGACACGGUCCAGACUCCUACGGGAGGCAGCAGCUAAGAAUCUUCCGCAAUGGGCGAAAGCCUGACGGAGCGACGCCCGCGUGAACGAAGAAGGCCGUGAGGUUGUAAAGUUCUUUUCGGGAGGGGGAACAACCGUGGCAGGGAAUGGCCGCGGGAUGACGUGAAUCCCGGAAUAAGCCCCGGCUAGCUACGUGCCAGCCGCGGC
rnacentral:rRNA from 1 species